GAAAUGCGAUAAGUAAUGUGAAUUGCAGAAUUCAGUGAAUCAUCGAAUCUUUGAACGCACAUUGCGCCCGCCAGCACUCUGGCGGGCAUGCCUGUUCGAGCGUCAUUUCAACCCUCAGAACCCCUUGCGGGAUCUGGCGUUGGGGAUUGGCAUCCAGCCAGCCCCGAAAUCUAGUGGCGGUCCCUCCGCGACCUCCCCUGUGCAGUAGCGAUACCUCGCAGCGGGACAGCGGUCUGACCACGCCGUAAAACCCCCAACUUCUCAAGGUUGACCUCGACUCAGGUAGGAAUACCUGCUGAACUUAGGC
rnacentral:misc_RNA from 1 species